UCAAGUGUCCUGAAGACAUGAUGGAAAAGAGGACAGCUGGACAGACUGCUGAUUGCGUGACCGUGAGCGCGCUUCCAGUACUGCUUCAGGUCCGACUUGUACUCUAACACCUGUAGAGAGAAACGGCAGGAAACACCAGGGAGAGUGAAGAGAUUUGAUGGAGAGUUCGUAGGAACACAAGAAGAACGCUGCCUCAACCAGAUCUACAGGAGACACAGAGGGACAAACUUCACUGAUGCUGAAGUUUAACACUGAGAUCGUUCUUCUUCCCUCAGCGUUCUACAGGAAGUUACUACAAAAGAUGUCCACCAAAGCAGUGAGGACACCGCUGCUCGGUGAGGACACCGCGGCUCGGUGAGGACACCGCGGCUCGCAGCGCCGUGCGGUUGUUCUCCACACCCUCCACGUAACCACGGCAACGCUCGAAGAAUCGCAUCAGCUCGUCAUCCACCUCGUGGCUGUACUCCACCUCUGCAGAGAGACGUCAGACACGUCCAUGAACUCGAGACGCAUUGACUUCUGCUGCCGUGUGGAGUUUCCUACAUUUCCCAUAAUGCCGAGAAACAAAGCAAACACACGGAACCACAGACGUAACCAGACAGACAGGAGGACGUCAGCCACUCCCCGGACAGACCAGUGAGCACAGCGAGCAGGUGAGAUCACCUGCCCAGCUUCAGCCACGCUCUGGCCCAGCCGUCUGGUCCUAAAGAUCCUGUCCUCGUUAAAGCGGCUCAGGUGUUUGCACCUGCACCUGUCUGACCUAUCCCACAGCUCUCACCGUGACG